GAGCGCAGCACCUGAUGAGGACUCUCACACGUCUGACCUCUCAGUGGACGGGGAGUUGAAAGAGAAUUUCCCUUUCGUAAAUUAUCUUGCCAUGUUGUAUGUGUACCUUAAAAAACGAACAGGUUUCAUGACCCGGGGGCAAAGGAGACCUAUUGAAAAAGCUCUCUGAAAGGUCAUCUAUCCGCACAUACGGAGCAGACUCUUCAGUUUCUGGAUCAUCCUCUGCAGGUCUGAGGUGAUUUGAAGUUGGUGAUGUAUGACGCUGUCGUGCCAACAGAGCCAGUUGAAGCUGUGUCCUCUCUGGACCCAGCAAAGCAGGAUUGGAGAACCGUGGCCCGUAAUUACUAAUGGAUGCAGAGUGGAACAGAUCACUUGAAAAACAAACCAAAACAGGGAGCUGCAAGGUGCAACAAGUGAUUCUUGUCAUUAUCAUAUGAUCCACUGUGCAGCCAUUUUAAAGACGUAAUGAUGCUCUGCUUUGGCUUCAUGCUACGAGCUGUGAGCGGAGCUUCGGAUUGUUUAUUUCACUUGCUUCCUAUGUUAAAAAUAGAACACCUUUAAACUUAACAUUGUAUUUGUCAUCGUGAAUGUACUUAGAAGGACAAAGCAACACAGUUUAAUGGCCCACAUGGCCUCAGGCUUGUCUUCCACCAAAUAUACAUCAAUAUAAGACUUAACACUUCAACAAAUUACAUCAGAAAACUAAGCAGCAUCUGUCAGAAUGUUGUGCUGUGCCUGGUUUAAUUUUGCUCUUGCUGAGCCUGAGUGAAAAUCACAGAUGGUGCAUCAUUUGUCAAGUAUUUCUUUUCUUUAAAACUUUACCUACCUCUAAAAGAAAAUCUGUUUUUGCAACACAAACUAGUGGUGGUUCUGGCUUUAGCUGACUCAUUCUUCUACCCUUGCUUCUCCCAGUUUGCUUGGUGUUUGGAGAAUUUGUAAAAAAAAAAAAAUGUAUAUAUAGUUUAGACACCUAUUCUCACCUGUGCAGGUUGUAUCUCCCUGUCUACACUUUUAAUUAGGGGUGGGGAAAAACUAAAGUAGAUGGUACGAGGAGGCGGAACUUUAUGGGGAGCACAUAACAAAGAAUCAUGGAGUCUAUAGAUAGAGCAGCGCUAUUUCACUGGCACAGCGAUCCCGACUCUCAACAACAAAACCAAAACAGAAGCCACGGCCUCACUGGUGAAAGCAGGUCGAAUAGCAAAUACAGGUGAUGCUUGGACAUCUGUUGCCACUGAAUCUUACGUCACUAAAACUGCUCACAUUAUCACCAAAGACUGGCUCCAGUAUACACACAUUGAUAAAAAGAUAAUAAUUUGGUCAGUGAUCAUACAGUGAGACAGUUAGUUUUACAUGGGGAGAUGGAGUAAUGUCAUUUUACCACAGGGCAUCUGUAUUAUGUCCUGUUGGCCAAUUUGCACGGGAUAAGAAAUCUCAGUAAAACUACAACAGUUUGGGGGAAAAUCGAGGUAAAUAGCUCCGUCUGUCCCGUCUAACCCUAACCCUACUGGGCCCAGUUGCGGAGCCGCUGCUACGACCAAUCACAUGUUCUGUCACCCUGCCCAUAAUCGAAUCGUAGCCCCUGAAUCAUUAUCAUUAUCGAAGUGUGAGGCGCCUAAAGAUUCCAACCCCUACUUUU